rnacentral:rRNA from 1 species
GACGAACGCUGGCGGCGUGCUUAACACAUGCAAGUCGAACGGAAAGGCCCUGCUUUUGUGGGGUGCUCGAGUGGCGAACGGGUGAGUAACACGUGAGUAACCUGCCCUUGACUUUGGGAUAACUUCAGGAAACUGGGGCUAAUACCGGAUAGGAGCUCCUGCUGCAUGGUGGGGGUUGGAAAGUUUCGGCGGUUGGGGAUGGACUCGCGGCUUAUCAGCUUGUUGGUGGGGUAGUGACUUACCAAGGCUUUGACGGGUAGCCGGUCUGAGAGGGUGACCGGCCACAUUGGGACUGAGAUACGGCCCAGACUCCUACGGGAGGCAGCAGUGGGGAAUAUUGCACAAUGGGCGGAAGCCUGAUGCAGCAACGCCGCGUGCGGGAUGACGGCCUUCGGGUUGUAAACCGCUUUCGCCUGUGACGAAGCGUGAGUGACGGUAAUGGGUAAAGAAGCACCGGCUAACUACGUG